rnacentral:rRNA from 1 species
UAUGGGCGCAGGCCUGAACCAGCCAGUAGCGUGAAGGAUGACUGCCCUAUGGGUUGUAAACUUCUUUUAUAUGGGAAUAAAGUUUUCCACGUGUGGAAUUUUGUAUGUACCAUAUGAAUAAGGAUCGGCUAACUCCGUGCCAGCAGCCGCGGUAAUACGGAGGAUCCGAGCGUUAUCCGGAUUUAUUGGGUUUAAAGGGAGCGUAGGUGGACAGUUAAGUCAGUUGUGAAAGUUUGCGGCUCAACCGUAAAAUUGCAGUUGAUACUGGCUGUCUUGAGUACAGUAGAGGUGGGCGGAAUUCGUGGUGUAGCGGUGAAAUGCUUAGAUAUCACGAAGAACUCCGAUUGCGAAGGCAGCUCACUGGACUGCAACUGACACUGAUGCUCGAAAGUGUGGGUAUCAAACAGGAUUAGAUACCCUGGUAGUCCAAGGGCGAAUUC